rnacentral:rRNA from 1 species
AUGGCGACGACGGUGGACUGGCGCAGCUAUAGGCCCGAUCUUCCUGCGGCGAUGUACCGCAUGGUGGACAGCAGAGACCAGGUAAUGCACGCGUUCGCUCCGCCGACGGCGCAGGGCGCGGCUCCGACCAUCUCGUUCGCCUUCCCAUGCCCCGGCGCGGAUCAGAGCGCCGGCCUGCUUCGUGGCGCCACCUACCUCACUCCCGCGCAAAUCCUCCAGCUCCAGUCGCAGCUCCACCACGUGCGCCGGGCGCCGGGCGCGCCCAUGGCCGCGGUGGGGCAGCCGAUGAAGCGGCACGGCGUGGCGGCGCUCCCGGUGCGGCCGGCGACCAAGCUGUACCGCGGCGUGCGGCAGCGGCAUUGGGGGAAGUGGGUCGCGGAGAUCCGCCUGCCCCGCAACCGCACCCGCCUCUGGCUCGGCACCUUCGACACCGCCGACGAGGCCGCGCUGGCCUACGACGCCGCCGCCUUCCGGCUCCGCGGCGAGUCCGCCAGGCUCAACUUCCCCGAGCUCAGGCGCGGCGGCGAGCACCACGGCCCGCCGCUCGAUGCCGCGAUCGACGCCAAGCUCCGCUCCAUCUGCCACGGGGAAGACAUGCCGCAGAGCCAGAGCAAUGAGACGCCGGCGCCGACGCCGACACUGACGCCGAUUUCUUUCCCGGACGUCAAGAGCGAGCCAGUCUGCUCCGUCUCCGAGAGCUCUUCGUCGGCUGACGGCGAGGUGUCCUCGUGCUCCGACGUCGUCCCGGAGAUGCAGCUUCUUGAUUUCUCGGAGGCUCCAUGGGACGAGUCCCUGCUGCGCAAGUACCCGUCGCUCGAGAUCGACUGGGACGCGAUCCUUUCUUGA